CACGCCGUAAACGAUGAGUACUAGGUGUAGGAGGUAUCGACCCCUUCUGUGCCGCAGUAAACACAAUAAGUACUCCGCCUGGGAAGUACGAUCGCAAGAUUAAAACUCAAAGGAAUUGACGGGGGCCCGCACAAGCGGUGGAGUAUGUGGUUUAAUUCGACGCAACGCGAAGAACCUUACCAAGGCUUGACAUUGAGUGAAAGGCUAAGAGAUUAGCCCCUCUCUUCGGAGACACGAAAACAGGUGG
rnacentral:rRNA from 1 species